rnacentral:lncRNA from 10 species
AAAAACCCUCAGCUCUUUCAUCUCUACCCAUCUAACCCCUAAUUGCAACUGUGAUCCACCCUUCUGAAGUAAGUGAUUCUGUGAGGUGCCUGUGUGUAUCUUACCAGCUCCCCAGCACUGCCAGACUGUGCCAUGAAUGGAUUAUGCUUCUGAUGAAAUCCCUGGCUGCGUUUUGUUCAGUCACCACCGCAGGGUUCUUGUAUAUUCUCAAGCACCCUCUCUGGGUUUCUGUUUUGCAGCACUGCAGGCUGAUUAAGGGACACUUUCCAAACCACAGGGCUCUCCCUUUAUUAGUCCCCACAGUCUUUCAUUGGCUGCAUUGUCCUCCCAUUUCUAUCUAUAUUCAAUCUAAUUUCCAAUUUCUUUAGCUUUCUGAAAUUCUGUAGGCUUUCUCCACUCAGUCUUUUCUAGCCUUAUUUUUGUCUUUUUAAAAAUUCACCUUCCUUUUAUUAUCUCUAGACAAACUAUUCAUUCCCUCUUUUCUUCUUUAGGCUUUACUUUUCCUGAAUAUUUGCUAAUAGCCUUGACUGUAAGCAUCAAACUCAUUAUAGACUAGGUACUCUUCAUUUUUAUUUGUUGUUUAAUUCUGUUUCUUCCGUCAAAGGAAGAAAUAUAUGUGAAAGGCUUUUAUAAACCAGAAAGCACUAUACACACAUAUCACUUAUUGAGGUUAACAAAGGACCACUGUGCCUCUUUUCAUGCUUUCUGCUCUUCCAAGCCAAGAGAACUUCUCCAUAGAGGAGGGAAAUAUUGAAGAAAAAUAAAGCCAUGGAGUUGUCUCUUAGCAACUGAGUUCGUGCCUUAUAAAUCUCAUCUACUUUAGAUUACUGCUGCACAAAAUCACUUGCUUUUCUUAUUGGCUCAGUAUAAAUAAUGUUAUUAAAUUAUAGGAAAACAAUGGAAAAAAUCUAAUGAAUGACUCAUUCACUGAAUCAGUUGCACUCUGUGUUUGCACAGCACUGUUGCUAUAGUCGGGUUGUUUCUUCCUCUUGAUUCUAAUUGUAAAGUUUUGUUAUAUAUCUUUUAUCACAACUUUAGUUGUAAGUAAACAAAGUAGAAGCUAAAUGCUACCUUAUACAUUUAUAGGUUGCUUAAGUCGUGAAGCAAUAUGAGUCAUAUAUGUAGCACAUAACAUAUACUGUAUAUAAGUCAAGUUGUACAUAGUUUAAAGAAAAUCAGGUGUGCAGAAACUCAGACCAAAUUGGGAAGUAUUUGCAUUAUAAAAUAACUCAUUAUAAGGAUUUUUCAGUUAGUAGAUCUCCAUAGUAAAUUUCAUUCAGCAAAUGUGUAUUUUUCCUAUUUAUUUAUUUAUUUAUUUAUUGAGAUGAAGUCUCGCUCUGUUGCCCAAGCUGGAGUGCAGUGGCGUGAUCUUGGCUCACUGCAACCUCUGCCUCCCAGGUUCAAGCGAUUCUUCUGCCUCAGCCUCCUGAGUAGCUGGGACUACAGGUGCGCACCACCAUGCCUGGCUAAUUUUUAUAUUUUUAGUAGAGACGGGGUUUUACUAUGUUGGUCAGGCUGGUCUCGAACUCCUGACCUUGUGAUCCUCCCGCCUCGGCCUCCCAAAGUGCUGGGAUUACAGGCGUGAGCCACUGUGCCAGGUCUAGUUAUUUAUUUAUUUAUUGUAGAGAUGGGCUCUCACUGUGUUGGCCAGGGUGGUCUUGAACUCCUGGCCUCGAGCAAUCCUUCCACCUCAGUCUCCCAAAGUGCUGGGAUUACAGGUGUGAGCUAUCACACCUGGCCAUUUUUUUUUUUUUUUUUUUUUUUGAGAUAGAGUCUCACUCUGUCACCCGCAUUGUAGUGCAGUGGCGCAUUCUUGCUCACUGCAACCUCCCCUUCCUGGGCUCAGGGGAUCCUCCUACCUCAGCCUCUCAAGUAGCUGGGACUACAGGGAUGUGCCACCAUGCCUGGCUAGUUUUUGUGUAUGUGUGUGUUUUGUAGAGACGAGGUCUCACUAUUUUGCCCAGGCUGGUCCGGAACUCCUGGGCUCAAGCAAUCCUGCCUCCUCAGCCUCCCAACGUGCUGGGAUUGCAGGCAUGAUCCAGUGCACCUGACCAUCAUUCAGCAAGUAUUUUUGAGUGUCUCCUAUGCUAGACAAUGGAAGGGAUAAAGAUUAUUCAUACGUGUGUGUGUGUGUGUGUGUGUACGUGCCCAUAAAUAGUCCUUGGCUUUCUGUCUAGUAAGGUAGGUAAGACAAUACAGUGAUAAAUGCCUUGUGAGUUGUAAGCCGAGUGCUAUAGAGGCUCAGAGGAGGGAAAGGUCACUUCCUGCUGAGUGAGCUCUUACGAGUAUGUGGCAAGGUGAUACGUUAGAGAAUGCAAGACUAAGAGUUUGUCAAGUUAAGUAAUUAAGGCAACAUUAAGAGGUAGUGAGUUGGUGUCCAGUGCUAGAGCAAGGAGUUUCAGCUUUAGUUAGGAAGCAAUGGGGAGCCACUGACUUUUUUUUUUCUUUUUGAUCAAAAAGUCUUAUCUGGGAAAAUGUAUCUGGCAGUAAUGUGUAAUUUCAAUUUUUUUUAAAAAAAAUUGGUUCUUGGAUAGUCUUUUAGGCUUCUUUUGUAUGAAACAAAGCCAUGUUUAUAAAUAAGUGAAUUAUGAAAUGGAUUCAUUUCCAAUCUUUUUAAAAGGUAGUCAGAAACUAUCUUCAGAUGCAAUUAGAUACAGUAAGAUAGGCUGCAUAGUUAAGAUGUAAGCAGUUUACACAGUGGGAUAAAAAUGCUACUUUUCAUACUUUCUCAAACCAUUUUUAGGGGUAUUUUUGUGUCAGCCAUCCUGCUAUCUCAUUUGUCCAAUUAAAGCAAGGAAGAAAUCCUCCAUUCUCCUUUUUUCCCCAUUCUUGGAUAGAAUGAAUGUCUAUAGUGAAAAGAACUCAUCAGUAGUCCUCUCAGAUUUGGUCUGAAUUUCACCAAAUAUUUGUAUAAUUGCAAAAAACUUGUUUCUCAGCCUUCUCCUUUAGGGGGAAAACAAAUAGAGGGCAUGAUGGCCUACCUCCCUGCAUUGUGGUGAGGGUCAGCUGAUACAAAAUAAAGUGUUAAGUGUAAUUACCCUGAAAUGUUUGUAAUUAAUGGAGAAAUGAAGUGUAGACACUUUGUUAGUAGAAACCACUGUGGUUUGGAAAUGCAGUGUUUCAAUAAUAAAGACUGG